UUCCGAGUUCUCUGAAUCAGAUGGAAAUGGAGAAUGACCAAGUGCAAGAGUGAUCUUAGUUUUUACACCUUCAUCAUUGUUACUCUUGAACCCAUCCAAACUCAAUUCAUCAGUCUUCUUUAGACCUUCUUGACGAUUACUUCCGAAACUAAACUCGAUAGUACACGAGUUCUGUCGUCUAAACUUAGCAACAGAACUAGAUGCACGUGAGUUUUGCUUCAGACUCGAGUCCAUCAAAGAAC
rnacentral:sRNA from 1 species